GGUGUGUGCCCAGGACAGCGUGCUUGAACAAUUAUUGUUCAAGCACGCCGUCCUGGGCACACACACAUCAGCUAUCUGUGUUGUCUAUAUAUAUAUAUAUAUAUAUAUAUAUAUAUAUAUAUAUAAUAAAAAUAA